rnacentral:rRNA from 1 species
UAGAGUUUGAUCCUGGCUCAGGAUGAACGCUGGCGGCGUGCUUAACACAUGCAAGUCGAACGGAGUUAUCAUUUUUGAAGCGAUUAGCUUGCUAAGAGUGGAAAAGUUGAUAACUUAGUGGCGGACGGGUGAGUAACGCGUGGGUAACCUGCCUUACACAGGGGGAUAACACUUAGAAAUAGGUGCUAAUACCGCAUAAGCGCACAGUCCCGCAUGGGACAGAGUGAAAAACAUUAGUGGUGUAAGAUGGACCCGCGUCUGAUUAGCUGGUUGGCGGGGUAACGGCCCACCAAGGCGACGAUCAGUAGCCGGCCUGAGAGGGUGGACGGCCACAUUGGGACUGAGACACGGCCCAAACUCCUACGGGAGGCAGCAGUGGGGGAUAUUGGACAAUGGGGGAAACCCUGAUCCAGCGACGCCGCGUGAGUGAAGAAGUAUUUCGGUAUGUAAAGCUCUAUCAGCAGGGAGGAAAGAAAUGACGGUACCUGAGUAAGAAGCCCCGGCUAACUACGUG